UUGAAUCCGGGUUGAUUUUUAUGGAGAAGAUUGUGGUCAGAUUGAGAUUCGUAACCCCUUUUGUCCAUGAUGAACAAAUGGUGCUUUUGCUGCUGUGCUUGCAACCCGUUGUGCAGGAAUUUAUAGGAACAAUGGUUUUCUGAUGGUAUCGUGCAAUGAUGGUCUUAACCCAAUGCAAGCUGCUGUCUGUGAAUAAGAGAUCAAGAAGGCCAACAUGUGUGCAACUUUUCUUCAUUCUUAGAUCUGAACUCCUCUUGUAUUUUUACAUCUCCGUUUGCUUCUUAACCUGCCAAACAAUGAUCCAAAACCUAUAUACCCAAGGUAGCACA